UCUCGUCUCACUUCCGCAGGUUGUUCCAAAGUUCUAUUCCUUCGUCUGCAACCCUAGCUUUCCGUUGUUUGCAAAUCUAUGGCUGGUGAAUCUGAUAAACCCGAAAACACCCUCUCUUGUGCUAACUGUGGCAAACCUGCGAAUCUUCAGUGUCCAAAAUGUAUGGAAUUGAAGCUUCCUCGAGAAGGUGCUGCCUUCUGCUCUCAGGAUUGUUUCAAGUCUUCAUGGAGCUCGCACAAAUCAGUGCAUCUGAAGGCAAAACUAUCCCCACCUGGCACACAAAAUUCAGACUCACUUGAUGAAGGUUGGUUAUAUUGUUUGAAGAGAGGGCAGGCUCGAACGCCAAAGCUUCCUCACUUUGAUUGGACAGGACCACUGCAGCCAUAUCCCAUUUCUAGUAAACGGAUUGUCCCAGAUCAAAUUGAUAAACCUGAUUGGGCUGGUGAUGGAACACCCAAAAUUGAGCCCAAUAGUAGUCUACAGCAUACCAUUGAGGUCAAAACUCCAGAUCAAAUAGAGAGAAUGAGGGAAACUUGUCGGAUUGCAAGGGAGGUGUUGGAUGCAGCUGCUCGGAUUAUUCAGCCUGGUGUGACGACUGAUGAGAUUGACAGAGUUGUUCAUGAGGCAACUAUUGCUGCAGGAGGAUAUCCAUCGCCUCUCAAUUACCAUUUCUUCCCUAAAUCUUGCUGCACGUCAGUUAAUGAAGUAAUCUGUCAUGGAAUUCCUGAUGCAAGGAAGCUUGAGGAUGGUGACAUUGUAAAUGUUGAUGUCACUGUGUACUAUAAAGGUGUUCAUGGUGAUCUCAAUGAAACAUACUUUGUGGGAAAUGUUGAUGAAGAGUCUCUCCAACUAGUAAAAUGCACAUAUGAGUGCCUGGAGAAGGCAAUAUCCAUUGUUAAACCUGGGAUACGAUUCCGUGAGAUUGGUGAAGUCAUUAAUCGUCAUGCUUCAAUGUCUGGAUUCUCGGUGGUAAAAUCUUAUUGUGGUCAUGGAAUUGGAGAGCUCUUCCAUUGUGCACCAAACAUUCCUCAUUAUUCAAGAAAUAAAGCAGUUGGUGUGAUGAAGGCUGGACAGACCUUUACAAUUGAACCAAUGAUCAAUGCCGGUGUCUGGCGUGAUCGAAUGUGGCCUGAUGGAUGGACUGCUGUUACAGCGGAUGGUAAACGAAGUGCUCAAUUUGAGCACACUCUUUUGGUUUAAACCUAUAAUCUCAUGCAUGCUUUCCAAAUCUCUCACUACUUUUAUUACAUAGUGAUCUAAAGGUGUAAGCUAUGGUGACAGAGACUGGUGUUGAAGUUUUAACAGGGCGGUUGCAGACAUCACCCAAUGUUUUUCCUUGGCUAGGUUCAUAAUUGGGUGAAUCAUGGAGACAGAUGCUGGCAGUGUCUAAAUACCAUACAAUUAUUAGACGACAUUUCUUUGAUCUAUUUCUCUGAUUGCCUCCUUUGGGUAUCAUGUUUGUAAGUUAUACAAAAAACAGAAGCAAAUUCAAUUGAGUUUAGGUGAAAAGUAUGCUUAAUGAUAUGUUUGUGUAAUUGAAGAAAAUUUAAUUUUAGAAUUUUGUCUUGCUUUCCAAUGCUUAUGUUGGUUAAUUCAAUAAUGUAAGUGCGAAGUUUUGAACACUAAGGCUUGGUUAAUUUAAUAAUGUAAGAGCGAAGUUUUGAACA